CGGGAGUUCGCACUUCCAAGUUUAACUUGGGAACUCCGAACUAUACCGAGGACGCAAGUCCGAACUUUGAUUCUUGGUAUUGAGAAAUGCGCAGUCUCUGAAUUGGGACACAGUUGUCCGUUUAAAACUUCUGUAACGGGAACGAUUUUUUAUACAGAAAAGUGAUUGGACCUAUUUACCAGAAAACCGCAUGCAUGUUGGUAGACAUGGCGGAUAUACGAAAACGUCCCUGUGUGAGUUCCACUGAGAAUAACCUAAAAGAUAAUAUUUCCCGAGAAGGCGGCACUGGCACAUCUGCAUUAUUUAAGUUAUUUGCUGCAGCUUUCUAUGGGCUCUCUUCUUUCCUUAUUGUUGUCGUUAACAAGAGUGUUCUCACUAAUUACAGAUUCCCGUCCUCUUUAGCAGUGGGAAUUGGACAAAUGUUUGCAACGGUUGUUUGUGCUGCAAGGAGCAAAAUCAUUACAUGUUGUAGAUUUCCCAGAUUUUGAUAAGCAUGUACAUCAUAAGGUAGGUACAGCCUGUGCACACUCAAGGC